rnacentral:rRNA from 1 species
GCUGAUGGUCAUACCACCCUGAAUACGCCUGACUGUAUCUGGUUUCAGAAGUCACACAGGGUUGGGCCUGUUUAGUACUUGGGUGGGAGACUGCCUGGGAAUACCAGGUACUGUAAGCU